AGCAAUUGACUGAGCUGUAUUGUUUGAGAGGUUGGUGCCAUUUGAGGAUGAGACUGUGGACUUCAGUCAGGAGGAGUGGUCAUGCCUGGACCUUAUCCACAGACCUCUAUACCAGUGGAACUGUGGCAGGAUGCUGACACUACAGAAACAUCAGCAAAACAAGAUCUCACCCUUGGAGGCUUUUAUUGACAAGAAUGCUCUGAGCACAGACCAGAUUUGAAUGUUAAGCGCCUGGGAAAAACCAUUCUUUUCAGACUCCCAUCUCAUUUCUACAGAAAAGUGAGUUCCAAAAUUCUCAGAUGCAAGAAGUUGGAAGCCUAUCCUACAAACAAGUGAAGAAAAUCAAAACCAUGUCAGAAAAUAACUUAAUGAUUUUGUUGCCUCUGGUCCGCUCUCCUCUUCAACUCUUCCCAUGUCAGCUGGGAGAUUCCUCCAAGAAAAAGAAAAAUCAUGCAGAAAGUACCCAGUGCAGAAAAACCCCCAGCCAUAAACAGACACGUAUACAGCACGAAUGUACCAAAUGUAAGAAUGUGCCCAACACAAACCAGCUCUCCAUAAAUACCAGGUAAUUUGCACUAUGGGCAGACAUUUUCUCUGUGACAAACGUGGGGAGUUCUCCCGUUAGAACAGGGAGCUGACAUCCCAUCAGUGGACUCCCAUCGUUAACAAGACUUAAGAGUGCUAUGACAGUGGAAAAUUAUCCAGUCAUACAUUCCCAACUGAAAAUACACCACCAAAUUCAAAGGGAAGAAAAUAUUAGAAACGCCCCGACUGUGGGAAAUCUUUCAGUCACACAUUCCAACGGAAGGCACACCAUCAAAUUAACACAGGAAGAAAUCAUAUGUGUGUUUUAGAUGUGGCAAAGCCUUCAGUCAGAAGCCAACACACAGCACACACCAAAAAAUUCAUUCAGAGUCUGGGAUUCAUUCUUCUGACAUUGCUCUUAGGACGCAAUACUAAUGAAAGAAAGCCCAACUUGGUGUGACUGUUCAUGUGGAAGAAAUAAAACCCAAACUGCCUACUGUCCUGCAACUAGAAAAUAUAUUAUUUAACAUCUCAUUAAAAUUCACCUUAACCAAA